UACGUAGGUGGCAAGCGUUGUCCGGAUUUAUUGGGUUUAAAGGGUGCGUAGGCGGCCUUGUAAGUCAGUGGUGAAAUACUCCAGCUUAACUGGAGGGGUGCCAUUGAUACUGCAGGGCUUGAGUACAGAUGAAGUAGGCGGAAUUGACGGUGUAGCGGUGAAAUGCAUAGAUAUCGUCAAGAACACCGAUAGCGAAGGCAGCUUACUAAGCUGUAACUGACGCUGAGGCACGAAAGUGUGGGGAUCAAACAGG
rnacentral:rRNA from 1 species